UACGGAGGGGGCUAGCGUUGUUCGGAAUUACUGGGCGUAAAGCGCACGUAGGCGGCUUUGUAAGUUAGAGGUGAAAGCCCAGGGCUUAACCCUGGAAUUGCCUUUAAGACUGCAUCGCUAGAAUCGUGGAGAGGUGAGUGGAAUUCCGAGUGUAGAGGUGAAAUUCGUAGAUAUUCGGAAGAACACCAGUGGCGAGGGCGACUCACUGGACACGUAUUGACGCUGAGGUGCGAAAGCUAGGGGAGCAAACAGG
rnacentral:rRNA from 1 species